UUCUAAGUGCUAUAGGUGUUGGGGAGAAAUCCGCUACUGUUAUUGGGGCAACGUUUCAGUGGUUCUUGCGAGAUUUAACUGGUAUGGUUGGAGGCGUCUUGUUCACAUGUUACCAGGGUUCUAAUUUAGU